UACGUAGGGUGCGAGCGUUGUCCGGAAUUAUUGGGCGUAAAGAGCUCGUAGGCGGUGUGUCACGUCGGCCGUGAAAACCUGCAGCUUAACUGUGGGCGUGCGGUCGAUACGGGCAUCACUGGAGUUCGGCAGGGGAGACUGGAAUUCCUGGUGUAGCGGUGAAAUGCGCAGAUAUCAGGAGGAACACCGGUGGCGAAGGCGGCAUUCUGGACCAAUAUUGACGCUGAGGAGCGAAAGCCAGGGGAGCAAACGGG
rnacentral:rRNA from 1 species